rnacentral:rRNA from 1 species
UACAGAGGUCCCAAGCGUUGUUCGGAUUCACUGGGCGUAAAGGGUGCGUAGGUGGUCAGGUAAGUCUGAUGUGAAAGCUCUGGGCUCAACCCAGAAAUGGCAUUGGAUACUAUCUGGCUUGAGGAAUGGAGGGGGGACUGGAAUACUUGGUGUAGCAGUGAAAUGCGUAGAUAUCAAGUGGAACACCAGUGGCGAAGGCGAGUCCCUGGACAUUUCCUGACACUGAGGCACGAAAGCUAGGGGAGCAAACAGG